GGAGAGAUGGCUGAGUGGACUAAAGCGGUGGAUUGCUAAUCCGUUGUACAAUUUUUUUGUACCGAGGGUUCAAAUCCCUCUAUUUCCG
rnacentral:tRNA from 1 species